CCCGUGGCUCUCCCAUUCUGUUCCAUCCUCCAGGUCUUGUUGCUAUUGCUCGCGCUGGGGGGGCCCAGGCCCCACUCAAUCACAUAGCCCUGAGGCCAUGGAUUGGGGGGCUCCCAGCCUACCCAGAGGCUGUGAGGGUCUCGGGCCAUGGCAUGGAGUCUGGUCAGAGCUGGGCCUCUGCUUUCUGAGAAGACCACCGGAGUGGGACGAGAGGUCCCGGCUGAGUUAUAGGCCACAAGGGCCACCUCCUGGGCUUCUGAAGGCAGGUGGAAGGUGCAGCUGAGCUCUGUGGUGUUGCAGAGGGGCAGGAUGGCCCCAGCCUGGCCUGAGGGUCUCCAAGAAACCACAUAACCUUGGAUCCGUCCGCUGUCUUCCUCCAGGGGCACUGGCUUCCAGAACAGCUGCACUGUCCUGGGGUCCAGCUGCCUCUGCCGCCACCAUGUGUCCAGUCUGACAGUGGGGGCCCGUUCGGUAGUUCUCAGCUCCAGGCUGGGGCUCCAGUCGCUCCAGUGGCCAGGCAGGGGCCAGCGGAUGCAGCGUAUCUGCAGGGUGUAGGCCGUGGCUGGGAGGAGCCCGCAGAGCUCAUACUGAAGGGCCUCCAAGGGGAGGGGGCCCACCAGUGCCCAGCUGGCUUCUCCACGCUGCGGCUUGUGGCGCAGCUCACACUUCUGAUUUAUGUGCAGGCCUGGCUGCCAUGGCUCCCAGCACAGCUGUAGGCAGCCUGCCUGGGGAGGGGCCGCUUCAGGGCUGGGGUCCAUGGUCCGCAGCAUGGGGGGCUCCAGUUUCACAACAUCCAUGGGAUCAAGACACAGUUGUGGGGACAUGCUGGUCCCCAGCGCAUUCUCUGCCUGCACCCAGAUGCCCAUAUUCUGGUACAACAGCAGGUGUUUGCGUGGGAUGCAGCAGUGGCUCUGCCCGUCCUUGGGCACGCAGUCCAGGAUGGAGUCCCCUUGGGUCUGAC
rnacentral:lncRNA from 1 species